rnacentral:rRNA from 1 species
UACGUAGGGUGCAAGCGUUGUCCGGAAUUAUUGGGCGUAAAGAGCUCGUAGGCGGUUUGUCGCGUCUGCUGUGAAAACCCGAGGCUCAACCUCGGGCCUGCAGUGGGUACGGGCAGACUAGAGUGCGGUAGGGGAGAUUGGAAUUCCUGGUGUAGCGGUGGAAUGCGCAGAUAUCAGGAGGAACACCGAUGGCGAAGGCAGAUCUCUGGGCCGUAACUGACGCUGAGGAGCGAAGGCAUGGGGAGCGAACAGG